rnacentral:rRNA from 1 species
GUGAACGCUGGCGGUAGGCCUAACACAUGCAAGUCGAACGGCAGCACAGUAAGAGCUUGCUCUUACGGGUGGCGAGUGGCGGACGGGUGAGGAAUACAUCGGAAUCUACUUUUUCGUGGGGGAUAACGUAGGGAAACUUACGCUAAUACCGCAUACGACCUACGGGUGAAAGCAGGGGAUCUUCGGACCUUGCGCGAUUGAAUGAGCCGAUGUCGGAUUAGCUAGUUGGCGGGGUAAAGGCCCACCAAGGCGACGAUCCGUAGCUGGUCUGGGAGGAUGAUCAGCCACACUGGAACUGAGACACGGUCCAGACUCCUACGGGAGGCAGCAGUGGUGAAUAUUGGACAAUGGGCGCAAGCCUGAUCCAGCCAUACCGCGUGGGUGAAGAAGGCCUUCGGGUUGUAAAGCCCUUUUGUUGGGAAAGAAAAGCAGCAGGUUAAUACCCCGCUGUUCUGACGGUACCCAAAGAAUAAGCACCGGCUAACUUCGUG